CAAAAUCAUCAAAAUCUACCAAUUUAGCCAAUAGAUAGUGUGAUGGAUCUUCGACAAGCUUCCAACCCGUACAAGCCUUCGAUUAUCUAAAAACAUGGGAGAAAUCACACAAUUCAGCUUAUAAUGCUUAGUAAGUUUAUAAAUCAUAAGCAAUACUUUUCAUUUCAUUAUAAAAGCUUAAAGGUAAUUUAAUGAACAUAUCCAACAUCGCUUGGCACAAGCCUUAGCACCAACAACAAUUCAUAUUAGUGAUUAG
rnacentral:lncRNA from 1 species